UUCCAGUCUCCCCUACCGCACUCAAGCCCGCCCGUACCCGGCGCGGAUCCACCGUUAAGCGAUGGACUUUCACACCGGACGCGACGAACCGCCUACGAGCCCUUUACGCCCAAUAAUUCCGGAUAACGCUUGCACCCUACGUAUUACCGCGGCUGCUGGCACGUAGUUAGCCGGUGCUUAUUCGAAAGGUACACUCACCCCGAAGGGCUUGCUCCCAGUCAAAAGCGGUUUACAACCCGAAGGCCGUCAUCCCGCACGCGGCGUCGCUGCAUCAGGCUUGCGCCCAUUGUGCAAUAUUCCCCACUGCUGCCUCCCGUAGGAGUCUGGGCCGUAUCUCAGUCCCAAUGUGGCCGGUCGCCCUCUCAGGCCGGCUACCCGUCGUAGGCUCGGUGGGCCGUUACCCCGCCGACUACCUGAUAGGACGCGACCCCAUCCCAUACCGAUGAAUCUUUCCCGACACNACAUGCGUCAUGUUGGAG
rnacentral:rRNA from 1 species